AGCAAUACCUUAGCGGCGGACGGGUGAGGAAUGCAUCGGAACGUGCCGAGUAGUGGGGGAUAACGCAGGGAAACUUGCGCUAAUACCGCAUACGCCCUGAGGGGGAAAGUGGGGGACCGCAAGGCCUCACGCUAUUUGAGCGGCCGAUGCCCGAUUAGCUAGUCGGUGAGGUAAGAGCUCACCAAGGCUACGAUCGGUAGCUGGUCUUAGAGGACGAUCAGCCACACUGGAACUGAGACACGGUCCAGACUCCUACGGGAGGCAGCAGUGGGGAAUAUUGGACAAUGGGCGCAAGCCUGAUCCAGCCAUGCCGCGUGAGUGAAGAAGGCCUUCGGGUUGUAAAGCUCUUUGAGCGGGGAGGAAGGUUCGACAGUUAAUAGCUGUCGGAAUUGACGUUACCUGCAGAACAAGCACCGGCUAACUCUGUGCCAGCAGCCGCGGUAAUACAGAGGGUGCGAGCGUUAAUCGGAAUUCUGGGCGUAAAGCGCGCGUAGGCGGCUACUUAAGUUGGAUGUGAAAUCCCCGGGCUUAACCUGGGCACUGCAUACAAGACU
rnacentral:rRNA from 1 species